GAUGAACGCUAGCUACAGGCUUAACACAUGCAAGUCGAGGGGCGAUCAGGAAGAAAGACUUGCUUUCUUUUGUCUGGCGACCGGCGCACGGGUGAGUAACACGUAUCCAACCUGCCCUUUACUUCGGGGAGUAGCCUUUCGUAAAGAAAGAUUAAUACCCGACUGGGAGUAAUUAUUCCGCAUGGUUUCAUUAUUAAAGGAAUUCCGGUAAAGGAUGGGGAGUGCGUUCCAUUAGGUUGUUGGUGAGGUAACGGCUCACCAAGCCUUCG
rnacentral:rRNA from 1 species